CUCUAAUAUCAUUUUGGUGUGGAUGGACAGCAACACAACAUGCUAGUAACAGAAGAAAGACAUACCACUUACUCUGCACUUCAAGAGAUUACCAGGAUGCUAUGCUAUUUGCAAUUGAAUAGCCUGUUUAAAAAGGGGAAGGUUAGUAGCAUUGGGUCAAAGCCUGAGUAUUCUACAACAGCUCAUAGAAAGUAAUAUUUCAUAUUUUGAGGGGAAAUUUUUGGAAGAAGAUGCUCUGGAUUUCAUUUGUCAUUUGAAGUAAUGUGUUUAUUGGAUGAAAUGGGAGGCCAAUAAAACACUUGAAAGCAGCAAUGCCGUUCUAUUUAUUUCAUUAUCAUCUCAGCUCAUAAAUAUUGUCUGUGUUAUUUUUUUCUCAACACAUAGCUUUUCAAGCUAGCACACAUUUUGACCAGGCAAGAUAUGAAUUGUAAAGAAGAAGAAUCUGGAAAUUGUAUGUUAAUGAAUGAGUUGUGUAUUGAUCAGUUUGUAUGAACAUACACAGUACUGCCUAGUGAAAAUAAAACUUAAUGCUUUUAAGGAAAGCAUGGAAAACUUCUAAAAUAGAGUUGGGUCUUUUUUUUCUUUUUUUUUUUUUUAUUUUAUGGAAGAAAGA